rnacentral:rRNA from 1 species
UACGGAGGGUGCAAGCGUUGCUCGGAAUUAUUGGGCGUAAAGGGUAGGUAGGUGGUCUCAUUUGUCUGGGGUGAAAGCCUUGAGCUUAACUCAAGAAGUGCCCCAGAAACGGUGAGACUGGAGUCCUGGAGAGGGUCGUGGAAUUCCCGGUGCAGCGGUGAAAUGCGUAGAGAUCGGGAGGAACACCAGAGGCGAAGGCGGCGACCUGGACAGGUACUGACACUCAACUACGAAAGCGUGGGGAGCAAACAGG